rnacentral:rRNA from 1 species
UUAAUGAGAGUUUGAUCCUGGCUCAGGACGAACGCUGGCGGCGUGCCUAAUACAUGCAAGUAGAACGCUGAAGAGAGGAGCUUGCUCUUCUUGGAUGAGUUGCGAACGGGUGAGUAACGCGUAGGUAACCUGCCUUGUAGCGGGGGAUAACUAUUGGAAACGAUAGCUAAUACCGCAUAACAAUGGAUGACACAUGUCAUUUAUUUGAAAGGGGCAAUUGCUCCACUACAAGAUGGACCUGCGUUGUAUUAGCUAGUAGGUGAGGUAACGGCUCACCUAGGCGACGAUACAUAGCCGACCUGAGAGGGUGAUCGGCCACACUGGGACUGAGACACGGCCCAGACUCCUACGGGAGGCAGCAGUAGGGAAUCUUCGGCAAUGGGGGCAACCCUGACCGAGCAACGCCGCGUGAGUGAAGAAGGUUUUCGGAUCGUAAAGCUCUGUUGUAAGUCAAGAACGAGUGUGAGAGUGGAAAGUUCACACUGUGACGGUAGCUUACCAGAAAGGGACGGCUAACUACGUGCCAGCAGCCGCGGUAAUACGUAGGUCCCGAGCGUUGUCCGGAUUUAUUGGGCGUAAAGCGAGCGCAGGCGGUUUGAUAAGUCUGAAGUUAAAGGCUGUGGCUCAACCAUAGUUCGCUUUGGAAACUGUCAAACUUGAGUGCAGAAGGGGAGAGUGGAAUUCCAUGUGUAGCGGUGAAAUGCGUAGAUAUAUGGAGGAACACCGGUGGCGAAAGCGGCUCUCUGGUCUGUAACUGACGCUGAGGCUCGAAAGCGUGGGGAGCGAACAGGAUUAGAUACCCUGGUAGUCCACGCCGUAAACGAUGAGUGCUAGGUGUUGGAUCCUUUCCGGGAUUCAGUGCCGCAGCUAACGCAUUAAGCACUCCGCCUGGGGAGUACGACCGCAAGGUUGAAACUCAAAGGAAUUGACGGGGGCCCGCACAAGCGGUGGAGCAUGUGGUUUAAUUCGAAGCAACGCGAAGAACCUUACCAGGUCUUGACAUCCCGAUGCUAUUUCUAGAGAUAGAAAGUUACUUCGGUACAUCGGUGACAGGUGGUGCAUGGUUGUCGUCAGCUCGUGUCGUGAGAUGUUGGGUUAAGUCCCGCAACGAGCGCAACCCCUAUUGUUAGUUGCCAUCAUUCAGUUGGGCACUCUAGCGAGACUGCCGGUAAUAAACCGGAGGAAGGUGGGGAUGACGUCAAAUCAUCAUGCCCCUUAUGACCUGGGCUACACACGUGCUACAAUGGUUGGUACAACGAGUUGCGAGUCGGUGACGGCAAGCUAAUCUCUUAAAGCCAAUCUCAGUUCGGAUUGUAGGCUGCAACUCGCCUACAUGAAGUCGGAAUCGCUAGUAAUCGCGGAUCAGCACGCCGCGGUGAAUACGUUCCCGGGCCUUGUACACACCGCCCGUCACACCACGAGAGUUUGUAACACC